UGAGGAAUAUUGGUCAAUGGGCGAGAGCCUGAACCAGCCAAGUCGCGUGAAGGAAGAAGGAUCUAUGGUUCGUAAACUUCUUUUGCAGGGGAAUAAAGUGCAGGACGUGUCCUGUUUUGUAUGUACCCUGAGAAUAAGGAUCGGCUAACUCCGUGCCAGCAGCCGCGGUAAUACGGAGGAUCCGAGCGUUAUCCGGAUUUAUUGGGUUGAAAGGGUGCGUAGGUGGUUUUAUAAGUCAGCGGUGAAAGUUUGCAGCUUAACUGUAAAAAUGCCGUUGAAACUGUAAGACUUGAGUGUAAAGGAGGUAGGCGGAAUGCGUGGUGUAGCGGUGAAAUGCAUAGAUAUCACGCAGAACUCCGAUUGCGAAGGCAGCUUACUAAGCUACAACUGACACUGAAGCACGAAAGCGUGGGGAUCAAACA
rnacentral:rRNA from 1 species